CCUACGGGUGGCAGCAGUGGGGAAUAUUGGACAAUGGGCGAAAGCCUGAUCCAGCCAUGCCGCGUGUGUGAAGAAGGCCUUCGGGUUGUAAAGCACUUUCAGUGGGGAAGAAAGCCUUGGGGCUAAUACCCUCGAGGAAGGACAUCACCCACAGAAGAAGCACCGGCUAACUCCGUGCCAGCAGCCGCGGUAAUACGGAGGGUGCGAGCGUUAAUCGGAAUUACUGGGCGUAAAGUGCGCGUAGGCGGUCUGAUAAGCCGGUUGUGAAAGCCCCGGGCUCAACCUGGGAACGGCAUCCGGAACUGUCAGGCUAGAGUGCAGGAGAGGAAGGUAGAAUUCCCGGUGUAGCGGUGAAAUGCGUAGAGAUCGGGAGGAAUACCAGUGGCGAAGGCGGCCUUCUGGACUGACACUGACGCUGAGGUGCGAAAGCGUGGGUAGCAAACAGGAUUAGAUACCCCGGUAGUC
rnacentral:rRNA from 1 species